AAGUGCCUGUGGUUUGAAUGAAUAAACGUUACUUUCUUAGUUCUUCGUUAUAGUUUCUUUGCAGCGUUUCAAGACUACGAUAAGGAUUUCCCCCCAUUGGUCAGGCCGAUGCAGACGUUAGAACUUCGCUUUGCUAAUCUUAGGGUGCGGGUUUAUCCCCAUUACUGGGGUCUGCGUUGGCUCGGACUAGCCGCAGUCAUCAUUACCACUUGAUGGCAAGAAGAAAGAUGUUGGAAGGAGAUCUGGAAAAAGAAGAAGAAGUAUUCCGGUCGGAUGGAGUCUUUCGGAGGUAUGUUGACGU